rnacentral:rRNA from 1 species
UACGGAGGGAGCUAGCGUUGUUCGGAAUUACUGGGCGUAAAGCGCGCGUAGGCGGCUUUGUAAGUUAGAGGUGAAAGCCCGGAGCUCAACUCCGGAACUGCCUUUAAAACUGCAUCGCUUGAAUCCAGGAGAGGUGAGUGGAAUUCCGAGUGUAGAGGUGAAAUUCGUAGAUAUUCGGAAGAACACCAGUGGCGAAGGCGGCUCACUGGCCCGAUACUGACGCUGAGGCACGAAAGCGUGGGGAGCAAACAGG